UACAGAGGUCUCAAGCGUUGUUCGGAUUCAUUGGGCGUAAAGGGUGCGUAGGCGGCGCGGUAAGUCGGGUGUGAAAUCUUGGAGCUUAACUCCGAAACUGUAUUCGAUACUGCCGUGCUUGAGGACUGGAGAGGAGACUGGAAUUUACGGUGUAGCGGUGAAAUUCGUAGAUAUUCGCAAGAACACCAGUGGCGAAGGCGGGUCUCUGGACAGUUCCUGACGCUGAGGCACGAAGGCCAGGGGAGCAAACGGG
rnacentral:rRNA from 1 species